rnacentral:rRNA from 1 species
GACGAACCGAGCGAACGUUGUUCGGAAUCACUGGGCUUAAAGGGCGCGUAGGCGGGUUCUCAAGUCCGGGGUGAAAUCCCACAGCUCAACUGGGGAACUGCGCGGGAAACUGUCGGACUUGAGUUCGGGAGAGGGAAGCGGAAUUCCGGGUGUAGCGGUGAAAUCCGUAAAUAUACGAAGGACGCCAAAAGCGAAGGACAGCUCUCUGGGUCCCUACCGACGCUGGGGUGCGA